rnacentral:rRNA from 1 species
GAUGAACGCUGGCGGCGUGCCUAAUACAUGCAAGUCGAGCGAACGGACGAGAAGCUUGCUUCUCUGAUGUUAUCGGCGGACGGGUGAGUAACACGUGGAUAACCUACCUAUAAGACUGGGAUAACUUCGGGAAACCGGAGCUAAUACCGGAUGAUAUUUUGAACCGCAUGGUUCAAAAGUGAAAGACGGCCUUGCUGUCACUUAUAGAUGGAUCCGCGCUGCAUUAGCUAGUUGGUAAGGUAACGGCUUACCAAGGCAACGAUGCAUAGCCGACCUGAGAGGGUGAUCGGCCACACUGGAACUGAGACACGGUCCAGACUCCUACGGGAGGCAGCAGUAGGGAAUCUUCCGCAAUGGGCGAAAGCCUGACGGAGCAACGCCGCGUGAGUGAUGAAGGUCUUCGGAUCGUAAAACUCUGUUAUUAGGGAAGAACAUAUGUGUAAGUAACUGUGCACAUCUUGACGGUACCUAAUCAGAAAGCCACGGCUAACUACGUG